UGAGGAAUAUUGCACAAUGGGCGAAAGCCUGAUGCAGCAACGCCGCGUGAGGGACGAAGGCCUUCGGGUUGUAAACCUCUUUUCUGGGGAAAGAGACAGGACGGUACCUCAGGAAUAAGUCUCGGCUAACUACGUGCCAGCAGCCGCGGUAAAACGUAGGAGGCGAGCGUUGUCCGGAUUUACUGGGCGUAAAGCGCGCGCAGGCGGUUCCGUUAGUCGGACGUGAAAGCUCCUGGCUUAACUGGGAGAGGUCGUUCGAUACUGCGGGACUUGAGGUUGGGAGAGGGGUGUGGAAUUCCCGGUGUAGUGGUGGAAUGCGUAGAUAUCGGGAGGAACACCUGUGGCGAAAGCGGCACCCUGGCCCACACCUGACGCUGAGGCGCGAAAGCGUGGGUAGCAAACAG
rnacentral:rRNA from 1 species